CUGCUCGGUGUUUAGAUUAACAGCCGCGGUAAUUUGACUGUGCAAAGGUAGCAUAAUCAUUAGUUUCUUAAUUGGGGGCUGGAAUGAAGGGUUUGACGGGGAGGUGCUUUAUUAAUGGGUUCUUUUGUAGAAUUUAAGUUUAUUGUGAAGACGCGAUAGUGAAUUUAGGUGACGAGAAGACCCUAUAAAGCUUUGAUGGAAAAUUUAGUGUUUUUUAGUUUUUUUGUUUUGUUGGGGCAACACAAAUAGUAAAUGUUGGUUUUUUUGGUGUUUUUUAGAAGACUUUAGGUUUGAUCCAGAUUUUUUUUUGAUAGCAAGACAAGCUACUUUAGGGAUAACAGCGUAAUUAUGUUGGAGAGUACUUAUCGAUAGCAUAGUUUGCGACCUCGAUGUUGAAUUAAGAUUCUUUCUAGUUGUAGCUGAUUAGAAGGGGGGUCUGUUCGACCUUUAAAUUCUUACG
rnacentral:rRNA from 1 species